rnacentral:rRNA from 1 species
UACGAAGGGGGCGAGCGUUGUUCGGAGUUACUGGGCGUAAAGGGCGCGUAGGCGGCGCUCCAAGUUAGGCGUGAAAGCCCCGGGCUCAACCUGGGAAUAGCGCUUAAGACUGGAGUGCUCGAGUGCGGGAGAGGUGAGUGGAAUUCCCAGUGUAGAGGUGAAAUUCGUAGAUAUUGGGAAGAACACCAGUGGCGAAGGCGGCUCACUGGCCCGCAACUGACGCUGAGGCGCGAAAGCGUGGGGAGCAAACAGGAUUAGAUACCCUGGUAGUCCACGCCGUAAACGAUGAGUGCUAGACGUUGGGGGACUCGGUCCCUUGGUGUCGCAGCUAACGCAUGAAGCACUCCGCCUGGGGAGUACGGCCGCAAGGUUA